CUUUAGCAGGAAAAUGUCCCGGAUUGUGAAUUUCUGCUAUUGACCGGGUCCAGCUGGAUCCAGGUAUGAGAGUCAUCAUCUCACCUGUGAGCUGUGACCAUGUAUAUGUCGCAAUUUCACCUGUCAUCAGGAAGCAGACAUGAGAGUCCUAUCACCUGGGUGCUGGACGAAGUUUCGCUCUUGUUUCCCAGGCCGGAGCACAAUGGUGUGAUCUCGACUCACUGCAACCUCCGCCUCCCGGAUUCAAG
rnacentral:lncRNA from 10 species